rnacentral:rRNA from 1 species
UACAGAGGGGGCAAGCGUUGUCCGGAAUUACUGGGCGUAAAGAGCUCGUAGGUGGUUUGUCGCGUUGUUCGUGAAAACUCACAGCUCAACUGUGGGCGUGCGGGCGAUACGGGCAGACUGGAGUACUGCAGGGGAGACUGGAAUUCCUGGUGUAGCGGUGAAAUGCGCAGAUAUCAGGAGGAACACCGGUGGCGAAGGCGGGUCUCUGGGAAGUAACUGACGCUGAGAAGCGAAAGCGUGGGGAGCAAACAGG